AUGUGUGGGCCCACCGGCCCCAGCCUCCUGUCUCCCCCCAGGUGUGUGGUGAUGCCAGGCAUGCCCUUCCCCAGCAUCAGGUCUCCAGAGCUGCAGAAGACGACGGCCGACUUGGAUCACACUCUUGUGAGUGUCCCCAGUGUUGCAGAGGGCCAUCAGGCACCAAAGGGAUUCUGCCAGCAUAGUGCUCCUGGACCAGUGAUACACCCGGCACCCUGUCCUGGACAAGCUGUUGGCCUGGAUCUGAGCCCUCGUGGAAGUCAAAGCCACCUUUGUUUCUGCCAUUGCUGCUGUGUGGAAGUUCACUCCUGCCUUUUCCUUUCCCGAGAGCCUCCACCACCCCGAGAUCACAUUUCUCACUGCCUUUUGUCUGCCCAGUUUCACCAGAAGUAGGCCUCUUCCUGACAGGCAGCUGCACCACUGCCUGGCGCUGCGCCCUUCCUUUGCUCUGCCCGCUGGAGACGGUGUUUGUCAUGGGCCUGGUCUGCAGGCAUCCUGCUACAAAGGUGAAACCCAGGAGAGUGUGGAGUCCAGAGUGUUGCCAGGACCCAGGCACAGGCAUUAGUGCCCGUUGGAGAAAACAGGGGAAUCCCAAAGAAAUGGUGAGUCCUGGCCAUCCGUGAGAUCUUCCCAGGGCAGCUCCCCUCUGUGGAAUCCAAUCUGUCUUCCAUCCUGCGUGGCAGAGGGCCAGGCUUCUCACUGGGCCUCUGCAGGAGGCUGCCAUUUCUGUCCUGCCCACCUUCUUAGAAGCGAGACGGAGGACACCCAUCUGCUUCUGCCCUUUCCAUAAUAACUAAAGUUAGCUGCCCUGGACUAUUCACCCCCUAGUCUUAAUUUAAAAAGAUCCCCAUGGCCACAGGGCCCCUGCCUGGGGGCUUGUCACCUCCCCCACCUUCUUCCUGAGUCACUCCUGCAGCCUUGCUCCCUAACCUGCCCCAUAGCCUUGCCUGGAUUUGUAUCUCCCUGGCUUGGUGCCAGUUCCUCCAAGUCGAUAGCACCUCCCUCCCUCUCAACCACUUGAGCAAACUCCAAGACAUCUUCUACCCCAACACCAGCAAUUGUGCCAAGGGCCAUUAGGCUCUCAGCAUGACUAUUUUUAGACACCCCGUGUCUAUCACUGAAACCUUUUUUGUGGGAGACUAUUCCUCCCAUCUGCAACAGCUGCCCCUGCUGACUGCCCUUCUCUCCUCCCUCUCAUCCCAGAGAAACAGGUCAGCUGGGAGCUUCCGCCCCCACUGCCUAGGCACCAACAGGGGCAGGAGGCAGUCACUGACCCCGAGACGUUUGCAUCCUGCACAGCUAGAGGUCCUUAAUUAAAAGCACACUGUUGGUUUCUGCUCAGUUCUUUAUUGA